UCUUGAGUGUUAUGUCUGAGGGCGAAGUUUGGUUUUUGAGCAAGAUUGAAUGGUUUUGUGUGGAGAGCUAUCGAGAAACUGUAAAACAGUACCAACACGUUCCCGUGAUCAAAGUGAAUAUUUGUCAACUAACUAAAGUGAAUGCAAGUGAGGGUAAAUAUGGAUAUAAAGUAAAUAAACAAUGAUUAAAACAUCCACCAGAAUGCAAUCAAUGAGAGACAGAACAGAAGUAAUAGGGUAUCUGGGCAUCUCCUCAAGCCUUUCCUCCGGGUACCAUCCCCAAACCAACGGCCUGACGGAGAACGUUAACCAGGAGAUGGAGACUGCACUACGCUGCGUCACUGCAUCCCACCCAGCAUCCUGGAGUUCCAUGCUCCCUUGGAACAGGAACUCGCAGUCCCCUCGAUCCAGGCUCACAUGCGGCGCUGCUUCAGGGUGUGGAGGAGGAUUAGGGCAGCCCUGAUCCACGCAUCCAGCACCAUGCAGAGGCAGGCCAACUGUCGUCGCCACCUGGCCCCCACCUACACUGCGGGGCAACAGUCCCUUGGAUCCCUUGCCCUCUUCCCUGCACCUUUUUUAAGUAUUUCUGAAAUUAAAGUUACUCACCACUUCUGCCUCCGUAUGCUGAGUCUUGCAUCCUACAGUCCUGACAAACCCUAACAAGAGAAGAGAGAGAGCCCACCCGAAAGUAAUGUCUUAAAGUCUAUUUGCGCAUAUUCCAAUCAUCUCUUUCCACAAUAUCAACACUUUAUUACAGUUUUUUUCCAAUUGCUAACACACUAAAAUGACAUGCACAGCAUGAUUAUUUAAACGGACACACAGAGAGCAACACUUCUUCUCAAGUCUCAAAGUCUAAACACAUUUUCUGCUUUACACACAUUUUGCAUUUCAAAAUGCCACUUUUUAAAUGCACUGAACACGGUUCUCUGCAUAAGACACAACAAUCUGACAAAGUCACAUGUUUGCCAUUUCAAAACCCUACCAUUCAAAAUUACACUACAUGAGCUAAUUGGCCAAUUACAUGUGUCACCUGGCCAAACACCUCAAUGGUUAAUUGUUAACACUUCAAUCAGGAUGUAAGCACUAUGAAAAGACCAAAAGGUAAGCACUUUAUUAUUUAUUUUUUUUAACAACAAUGGAAGAUGUUGCAGAGAGAGGAAGAGGGAGGUUGAGAAUAAGAGGGGGAGGAAGAGUGAGAGGUAGAGGGUAGAGCAGGUAGAGGAUAUCAUGGCCAAAGAAGACAAACUCUUUCAAAUUAAAUCAGAGCAACCUUAGUUGAUCAUGUCAUCAACCAUGGGCUGACUAUGCGUGAGGCUGGACAGAGAGUGCAGCCAAACUUGAGCCGUUUUACUGUCUCCUCUGUCAUCUGGACCUUUAGACUGGAAAACAGGUAUGUAACCAAAAUUUCAUGUAGUACACCCCAUGUCAUAGUGUAUCAUUGGGUGACACCUGUUUACUUAGUGUAUGACAUCAGCCAUUCAUGAACUGUAAAAGUUUCCUGUACAAUGUACUCUACUGUGGGGGAAAAAUAUUUGGGCUGCAUUGUCCAAGCCCUAUAUAUUGUUUUAUUUUUUCUAAAGGACUGAGAGACGACACCCUGGUGGAAGGAGGGGCCAAAUGUUCACCGGGGUACGGGAAGCUGGCAUUGUAAACUUGGUUUUGGAACAUAAUGAAAUCAGAUUACGAGAAAUUCAAAGCCACAUCAUCCAAGACAACGCCUUAUUCAACAACAUUCAACGAGUCAGUCUGUCCACAUUGGCUCGCAUUCUCAAGCGAAACAAAAUCAGAAUGAAACAACUUUAAGGUGCCGUUUGAGAGAAACUCUCAAAGAAACAAAGAGGUCAGACGAGCAUAUGUGGAUGGAAUGUGAUGAGAUUGAUGUGGGUGCAAUUCAGGGAUGGAUAAGGCACUCAAGGCGCUUCUUCCCUCGAUGUCUGGCAAGGGAAGAUAUUGCCUGUGAUGUUGACGAGGCGUUGUGGCCAGACCCGGCUGUGCGAGAAGAUGCUGCCUA